ACUUUAUGGUUUCCGUGUUUGGAUGGCCUGAUCCAAACACGCGGGAAUGUUGCGAGGGUUAAGAAAAGCGAGCGAAAACACGAGCCGAAGGCGAGUGAUUUUGCCCGCUUUACUUAACUCGAGCAACAUUCCCAAGUGUUUGGAUCAUUCCAUCCAAGCACGGAAACCAUAAAGUAAUUGUUUUAUAAAAUAACAACGACACGAUAGUCUUCCGUGUUUGGAUGGCUUGAUCCAAACACGGCUUUCGACCAAUCAGAAUACGCG
rnacentral:lncRNA from 1 species